ensembl:lncRNA
GUGUGUUACUAUAAUCAGAAGAACUGUAUCUCCAGUUCCUUUGUUUGGUUUUUGCUGGUUCGUGAAUAAUGGCUGGACGACGUCUCGCGUUCAACUCGCCUUCAACUCCUCUCCACGGUCACCAACUUUCGGCCAGUCCGCAGACAGACGAGAAGAAACUGCUGAAUGCUCUCAGUGGAUCGUCUCGUCAACUCCAACAACAAACUGCCGAUAUCAACGAGCGGUUCGCCCCACUGGAGCGUUCGGGACUCUCCGGGUUUCUGUCCAUGGAGGAGAGGAUGGCGGCUCUGGAGGAACUGACUCAAAGAAGAGGAGACGGGCGCACAAUCCCAAGAUAGCGGAAGCGGUGCGCCGUCUUCACAACUCCGAGACAAACUACAGGCGCCACGAACCGGAGCAAGGACUAAUCUCGCCUCAUAAUGAGGCGGUGACCUCGUAUUUGCUCCGGGAAAAGUCCAGAUUUAGACAACGUCAUUGUGUGUAAGUGACACUGUUUACUGUUUCUCCUUCCUUGUUAAAUGUUACUGUCACUUGCGUUUGAUUUUUUUUUAUUCAUACCACACUCAUUUAAUUGUUUUCCAUCCGCCUGUGAGACGUAUUGUGAGACGGGACGCAGGAGCUUCAGGUUUUCCCAGCCGGAACACUCAUUGCGGGCGGAAGCUGCGAAGGAUUCAGCGCGGAGUCGAGCGAGAAGAAAGAGGGUCAGACACUUUUUUCAGGUGCAUUGAUAGAUGUGUUGUGUCCAUACGCAUCGCAUCGCACAGUACUGAUUCAUUGUUGUUUUUACAGCUGCUAGAAUCGAGACAAAGUGUGCUGGCUGAUGACGAGGUGGAACUCUGGAAAUCCACCACCGUAGAGCUCACGUCGGACGGAGAGGACGGCGUUGUUGGCGGGGUCUCGGGGUGGAUUGUACGGUCGCUGCUAUUUCUGAGUCAGUCCCGGUUAGAGGCGACUCAGAAAUACAGAUCCUCACACAUUAGGCGCCUGCACAACAGACCUGCCUCGGAAAACACGGCGCCAGUGACGGUCUACAACCCCAAGGAGGCAAACGGACAGUUUACAGAGCUGUAGUUUUUUAAACCGCCUUUACCCAAGUGUGGGCAGAUCCUCACUUUGUAUGUAGUUGUUGUUUGUAUGUUGUCAAUAAAGCUCUUUCUUUGCAUAAACAUGUGGCAAAUGUUCAUUUUAUCUAUAAAUUCAUUGAUGUCCUGGUUGGUAUCCUAAUAAUAGUGUAGUAGCCUACAUAGGAUAACCAUGAAAUGAAUAUACAGCAUAAUAUGAAUAUAUAAAUAAAAUGAGGCGGGUGACCAAUAGCGACAGAUCUGCCAACCAAUCACGAGUGAUUGAAAGUUGUGGUUUCAUCCAAUCAUGAACGAGGAAACUCAAGCCUGGUCUGCCCAGGUGUGGUUUUGCUGCCAAUCACGAGUGAUUUUAUUUGUUAGUAAGUUGUGGUUUCAUCCAAUAAGGAGUAAGGAUAUUCAAGCCCGCUCGGCUCGGCCACCCGCGUUUUCGCUGCAUUCAUAUGCUAAUUCGGGCCAUUUGCACAUCUGCCAGCUCUCCACCUACGUCAUGGUUCGUUUCCGACAAUUUGUGGCACAGACAAACGCGACAUGUGCGGGUUGCAAAUUGUCGGAAAUUAGGGAGAUUUCCGGGCGUUUACGGGGACGAAAAUCUCACUUUUCAUGCAGUGUAACCCCGACCAGGCUCCAAUUAUUGAACACAUAUUCUUACAGUAAUGUACACUUUAUUACGUUUGUAACUAGCUUUCAUUCUAAAUUGAAUUCCUUGAAAGUUAGCGGGAAGGAGUUGCGUUACUCGCAUUCUUCCAGCUAACGUUGCAUUCGGAGGAAAAGAGACGACGAUUCAGAUGAGCCAUCUUUAGCCGUCUUCGGCAUAUUUAUUUUACGAGCUGCCGCUGACACAUCAGUCUCACGGUCAGACAGCUUUCAUAGCUUCUUCAUAUAAAACGGCAAAACAUUUUGGGACAAACAAAACAGCAAUGCAAACGAGUGCCCCCUUGUGGCUCAUGCACAACACAGAUCAGCACUGUACUACACCAUCACCACAACUGAGGACAUAAUGAACAUAUCCCAACAGAAGGUCUAACCGUUUCUCAAAGACUAAAACCUGGUUUAUACUUCUGCGUUUUCAGAGCGACACAGACGCAAGACCCCCUUGCGUGUCCCUCGCAUCGCUUUUCACACCUCUUUGCGUCCUUGCGUGUGUCAAGACAUUUUUCUAGGCUUGCGUCGAAAGCGACGCAAGCAACGCAAGCCUCCACCGGGCUGCGAUUGGUCCGCUAACUACGUCCUUUAAAUGAAGAAUGUUUACGAGAGAACGGAUCAGAUUGAAGAACUUUUGUUUCGGAAGAAAUGCGUAAAUAUGACCGCUUAUACAAGCCGUCAUUGGUGGGUUGUAUAAGCGGGUUGGAUUCAUGGAGGGAGAUCGCCGCAAACGCCGGUUUGCCGGUCGAGAGGUGGGCAAAGUUGUGGAGGAAAAUACGGGACAAAUGUGUCCGCGAUGAAAAGCAGCAGUGGCGAUGCACGGGGCAAUAAAGUCUAUGAUAAAUAAAUAAACAAAUAAAUAAAUAGAUGUGACUCUCUAGGUCGUCUUCAACAAAACACGUCACUCCGCCUGUUGUUCUGGCGGUGAAUUGCUCUGCAACACACGCAGAACCAUGAAUUGAAACGAGUGCGUUGACGCAACGGCGCAGACGCAAACGCAGAAGAAUGCGCCAGCCUUAAGGGCUAGCUAGCAAGUGGCAACCAUGUUAGCUUCGAAAGUUACGGUUAUCAAGUGGGACCCAGGUUAGCCUUACGUUUUAUGAUUGUACAUUGUUUUCAUCGUAAAUUUAAUUCCUCGCAAGUUAUGGGAAGGUACACAUGUUUCAACACAUAUUAGCACUGCUAACACAUCUCACAAACAGCAUCAGCUAGCAUCUGGUAUCUAGCACUUGUUUUAGUGUGAUGCAACUGAAAUUAACUUACCCAUGGUAGUUGGCAACUGAACACCCGAAUCUAAGCGUUGUUUGUUUGUUUUCAGCAGCAGUCUCUUUCGACUUCCGGGUCACAAUCUGGGAGGAAUGAGGGCGACGGGAUUCACAAUCUGGGAGGAAUGAGGGCGGCGGGAUCUCAAGCAUGCGCAAAGACGCAAAGUCCAGAUUCCGGAUCGUAGUCGGACCGCACAUAGUCGGACAAAGGUGUUUACAUGAAACGGAUAAUUCAGUCCGACUAAGCCAGUUAUUCGAAUCCAUGUAACCACGCUGACUGUUUCCGAGUUCGCUGGUGGAGACAACAGAUGGGCACUAGGGAUGGUCAAAAGGACUGACCUGGGGCCUGUUGGUUGCUGAGACCAGCGGCUCCUCAGCUGAGAUGUUCUUUUUACCACAACACCAUUCUUUUAUUAAAUACAUUUGAUUUUAACCUUUUGAUCUGCAAUGACCUCUGUCCGUCCGGCG